rnacentral:rRNA from 1 species
CAGCAGCCGCGGUAAAACGAAGGGUGCAAGCGUUAAUCGGAAUUACUGGGCGUAAAGCGUGCGUAGGCGGUGAGUUAAGUCUGCUGUGAAAUCCCCGGGCUCAACCUGGGAAUGGCAGUGGAUACUGGCUCGCUAGAGUGUGUCAGAGGAUGGUGGAAUUCCCGGUGUAGCGGUGAAAUGCGUAGAGAUCGGGAGGAACAUCAGUGGCGAAGGCGGCCAUCUGGGACAACACUGACGCUGAGGCACGAAAGCGUGGGGAGCAAACAGGAUUAGAUACCCCCGUAGUCCCUGUCUCUUAUAC